rnacentral:tRNA from 1 species
GGACCAUUAGCUCAGUUGGUUAGAGCGUCCGGCUCAUAACCGGAUGGUCCGGGGUUCAAGCCCCUGAUGGUCCA